AGGUACCSUMUYYGUCGCMGGUAKUAGCUGCARCCGUUUCYUCCCYGCUGAAAGAGCUUUACAACCCGAAGGCCUUCUUCACUCACGCGGAAUGGCUGGAUCAGGGUUUCCCCCAUUGUCCAAAAUUCCCCACUGCUGCCUCCCGUAGGAGUCUGGGCCGUGUCUCAGUCCCAGUGUGGCUGAUCAUCCUCUCAGACCAGCUACUGAUCGUCRCCUUGGUGAGCCUUUACCUCACCAACUAGCUAAUCAGGCGUAGGCCACUCCAAUAACGCGAGGUUCUUGCGAAUCCCCCGCUUUCCCCUUGGGGCGUAUGCGGUAUUAGCACAGCUUUCGCUGCGUUAUCCCCAUUACUGGACAUGUUCCUACGUAUUACUCACCCGUUCGCCACUCGCCACAGGGUUGCCCCCGUGCUGCCGUUCGACUUGCAUGUGUAAGCAUUCCGCCGCGUUMAUCUGAGCAUGAUCAACUCUAAUCGAUUCCGCGGCSCAUGCGGCCGGAGCAUGCACUCGGCCAUUCGCCUAWAGUGAGUCKAUACAUUCMUGGCSYSUUUACACUGAGUGAUGAGCAGGGGC
rnacentral:rRNA from 1 species